GCCCUUGUGGCCUAAUGGCUAAGGCGUCUGACUUCUAAGAUUAGAAGAACAUCAGAAGAUUCACGGUUCGACCCCGUGCUCGGGCU